rnacentral:rRNA from 1 species
UACGUAGGGUGCAAGCGUUGUCCGGAAUUAUUGGGCGUAAAGAGCGUGUAGGCGGCCCCCGUUAGUCCGCUGUGAAAGUCCAGGGCUCAACUGGAAUGCCGGUGGAUACUGCGGGGCUAGGAGUCCGGAAGGGGCGAGGUGGAAUUCCUGGUGUAGCGGUGAAAUGCGCAGAUAAUCAGGAGGAACACCGGUGGCGAAGGGCGG